UAAUAAAUAAAUCUGUCAAACAUUGAUUGCAGGUUUUGCUUCUGAGAUAUGAACAGACCAGGUGGCCAUUCCUACCAGGAGAAGUGAGGCUAAGUGGCGUGGCUGUCCUGGGCAAGGAGGUAAGAAAUACCAGUCUCCAAACAUCCAUGUGUACAUGAAGUGGUGUGGAUUUUGCUUUCAGGGAGAAAAACUGUGGAUGACCUUACUUGUCAUGGGGAGAGUGUCAAAAGCAGACUUGGGACAAAUAACAUGGAUUUGCCAGCUGCUCGAUCUAUUGAGGACUCCAGUGACAAGAUGCUGUUAUUUUAAGGUAAAAAUACACAAACAAAAAAAGCCACUUCAAAUAGUUCAGCUAGUCGCAAAUCUGAAUCAAGUCAGCAGACCAUCAGACAUGGAGGUAAGCAUUUACGUUUCCCUGGUUGACAAAUGAAUCUGAGUCUAAAGCAACACUUGCAGACCAAAUAAAUAGGUCAUGUUGCAUCUCCAGAUGGAAGGAGACCAGAGGGCUGUUGUGUUCGAAAAGGAAUUAAUGCAAAUCCAACUAGCUGAACCAGGCACAUGAGAGAAAUGCAGCCGAUUUGAACGUUGAGGUUGUGAAAACUUCAGGAAGUUGCUAGAAGAUCUGGGAUAUCUACAGAAAGGAAACAGGCAAAAUUCAUCACUGCUACCAAGAGGAGGAGAGUUACAGGUGCUCAGGAUUUGAGUAGAAAGGAACAGGGACGGAGCUGAACAGAUCCAACACCUUAAAGGACGAUUGGAUCUCAAAAUAUGAAAGACUCUCAUUCAAUAAAGCAACAGGAUUGGCUCUGAGGAGCGGUAAGCAACAUUUGAUGAAGGAAACAGGCAGCGUGGACAGUAUUCAAGACACAAUGUUUAAAAGUUGCUGCUGGGAUGGAAGCAAAGAAGAAAGCCCUGGAGACGGGUUAGUGCUGGGACACAGGCACUAUCCUGGAGGGGCCUGGGACAGGGUGUGUAACCAUAGCGACCAGAGGGUCCUUUCCCCUCUGUGGUCCUGGCUCGCAUGCACAGGGUGAAACCGAUUGCCAUGUUUGGGGUCAGGAAGGAAUUUUCCUCCAGGGCAGAUUGGCCAGAGACCCUGGAGGUUUUUCGCCUUCCUCUGGGGCAUCGAGCAGGGACCAGCCCUUAGGGCCAUUUAGGAACAGACAUAAUAAAAUCAAUCAGAGAGAA